rnacentral:rRNA from 2 species
GAAAGAACCAACAGGGAUUGCCCCAGUAACGGCGAGUGAAGCGGCAACAGCUCAAAUUUGAAAUCUGGCUCUCGGGCCCGAGUUGUAAUUUGUAGAGGAUGCUUUUGGUGAGGUGCCUUCCGAGUUCCCUGGAACGGGACGCCAUAGAGGGUGAGAGCCCCGUCUGGUUGGACGCCGAACCUCUGUAAAGCUCCUUCGACGAGUCGAGUAGUUUGGGAAUGCUGCUCUAAAUGGGAGGUAUAUGUCUUCUAAAGCUAAAUACCGGCCAGAGACCGAUAGCGCACAAGUAGAGUGAUCGAAAGAUGAAAAGAACUUUGAAAAGAGAGUUAAACAGUACGUGAAAUUGUUGAAAGGGAAGCGCUUGUGACCAGACUUGGGCUUGGUUGAUCAUCCGGGGUUCUCCCCGGUGCACUCUUCCGGCCCAGGCCAGCAUCAGUUCGCCCUGGGGGAUAAAGGCAUCGGGAACGUGGCUCUCUCCGGGGAGUGUUAUAGCCCGUUGCGUAAUACCCUGCGGCGGACUGAGGUUCGCGCAUUCGCAAGGAUGCUGGCGUAAUGGUCAUCAGUGACCCGUCUUGAAACACGGACCAAGGAGUCGUCUUCGUAUGCGAGUGUUCGGGUGUCAAACCCCUACGCGAAAUGAAAGUGAACGCAGGUGAGAGCUUCGGCGCAUCAUCGACCGAUCCUGAUGUUAUCGGAUGGAUUUGAGUAAGAGCAUACGGGGCCGGACCCGAAAGAAGGUGAACUAUGCCUGUGUAGGGUGAAGCCAGAGGAAACUCUGGUGGAGGCUCGCAGCGGUUCUGACGUGCAAAUCGAUCGUCAAACAUGGGCAUGGGGGCGAAAGACUAAUCGAACCUCUA